rnacentral:lncRNA from 1 species
CAUUUAUUCAGUGCUUACUGUGUGCCAAGGAGUAUGCUGGGGGCCAGGAACAGUAAAGUGACAGGUAAGACCCAAGGUCAGUUGCUAUCAGUGACAUUAUGUGACCCUGAUGAACAUAAGAAGAGCACACCUUCAGGCCUCACUCUAAGGCUUGGGCUGGACCUUUGACAUGACCUGGAUUGUAACCUGCCUGGAUGCUCCUAGUAACAGAAAGGGACACAAUGGGCCUUUCCUUCCUCUGCCUCCAGGUGUUACAGCACACAGGUGUUACAGCACACAGGCACACCAGUGCAUCUCAGAACACACGCACUUACAUGCACACAGGUGUUACAGCACACAGGCACACCAGUGCAUCUCAGAACACACGCACUUACAUGCACACAGGUGUUACAGCACACAGGCACACCAGUGCAUCUCAGAAAACACGCACAUACAUGCACACAGGUGUUACAGCACACAGGCACCCCUACACAUCUCUCUUGAUACAGGAACACCACAACAUCUCAGACCAACACACACACACACACACACACACACACACACACCUGGUCAAUCAGUCAUUCAAAAAGGUGGUAUAGAAGGACCACCCAGGGCUGGGACCUCUGCUCCUAAAACUCUUUGGCCAAAGACAAAAUGGAAAAGUGGGGAAGAAGAGAACUUAAGGCUCCACUGUAGAAGUUCUCAGGGGACCCAGGUCAGUGGUACUGACCUUACCAUUUUUAUUUGGCUACCAGUCUGGCAUAGUCAGUCACCUUGAGUCAGUGUCCUGUUACAUGAGGAGGGAGGGGAUGCCUCAUUCCCUGUACUGGCUGUCCUUCUCUAGUGCCAAGAUGGUUAAGUUUCUGUCUCAUGCUACACACACCAUGCUCAUGUGACUUAGCUACAGGUCCCCUUAGCCACUCUGUGAGGGCACAGAUGCCUCCAUUUCAUUGUAGGAAAUGAUACUCAAGAUUUUCCUGAAAAUGACAUAUGCUGCUAACCUCUGUGCUUCGCUCAGAGAAGUCAAGGUUAGGAAGUGACCCAUGGACCUGUCUUGGAACUUUCCAUGUAACAAUGACUCACUGCAGGGACCAAGGGGUACAGAUGGUAGCUGUGUUGGCAGGGCCAUGAUGCCUUCUUCCUAGAGGACACUGACUCUCCUGAACAUUUAGGAGGCUCUGCCCACAGAGUGAGUUAGAGCUUGGGGACAGUCUCACCUUGACCCUCAACCCAAGGAAGGGCUACAGGCUGAGGAUAAGCAAGCCCCCCUGAACCAUUCAGGCGCUCUUAUCCUCACAGGCCAUGGUCUAUGUGUGAGGAAAAGUAGCUAGUUGGACCCUGGUAACUUGCACAGAUAAGGAACCUCAAUGCCCCCAAAGCCCAUGGGAACCUGUCUUAGUGUCCUUCAUAGGUAACAGCACUGAGGCUGUAAUGGCCCCCAUAGCCUAGCUCUGUUGAGACAACUGCAGAGCUCUGAGCAGGACACUUUCACCACAGGCUGUCAUAAGCUUGUCCCUACCCAUCACCAGUCUCUCCAGAUGGUGUAUCUGCCUAGGCUGACAGGAAAAUGCAACAAAUUCCACUGAGCAGGGCAUAUCUGUGAACCUACAAUCCUUGGCACUCAGAAAGCUGACCAGGUCAAAGCCAACUAAAGAGACAAGUGAGAUCCUGCCUUGAAGCAAAGCAAAAAGACUCCCAUGACUCUACUUAGCUGAAUGUGUUUGUGCUGCUCUGGGACAGUCCUGUCCACAUGACUGCAAUACUGGAUGUGUCCCUCUGCCCAUUUUCAGUGUCUAUAGGGCCUAGGCCAGUCCCUUUAGACUGCCUAGCAUGUACAAGACCAUGGUAAGGGUUUACAUACAAGUGUUUACUUUUUUGGGGGGGUUUUUCUGUGGCUUUGGAGGCUAUCCUGGAAUGAGCUCUUGUAGACCAGGCUGGUCUUGAACUCAAGGAGAUCCACCUGCCUCUGACUCCUGAGUGCUGGGACUAAAGGCAUUUUUGCCACCACUGCCCAGCAAGUGUUUGGUUUUUUGAGAUAGGGUUUCUCUGUGUAGCCCUGGCUGUCCUGGAACUUGCUCUGUAGACCGGGUUGGCCUUGAACUCAGAGAUCUGACUGUAUCUUCCUCCAGAGUGCUGGGGUUAAAGGUGUGCACCACCACUGCCUAGCUAUGUGCAAGUUUUGACCAGAACUUAUGGAUUGCAGCAUGGGGGACAUAACACAAGAAAGUAGCUCCCAAAGGCCUGUACCUUGUCUUUGAUCUUAAUGAAGGUUGGAGCCAGCUGUGAAUAGGCCCCAGCAGAAAGUGAUGAGUGCAGUGGCCUAGAAGAAGCUAUCCUUGAUGUGUCUAGACCCUGUGGUCUCCAGAGGUGCAAGUGAGACUGGCUCUGCCUGUGCUCAUCAAGUGAAACCACAAGGCUGGGUGUCACUUCCUGUUCCUCCCAUCUCCAGAGCUUGCAGGACAAGGGGAAAGAUGAAAAGGCUAGUGCUUCUGCCCGUGUCUAGCCUGUGGUUCUGUCCUUAUCUCAGGCUACCCCCCUUGAGGUUGACGUGAUCUGGGAAUUAUUCCUCCAAGUACCCAUCAGCCUCCAUGGCUCAAAUGACCCUUGUACAAAUAGCUUGUCCCAUACCUGAGAAAGCUUUGGCUCCAAGACACGGGAGACCAUCCUGAGCUUGCAAAACCCCUUCCUUGGGUUUUACUGCUCUAUUGGAAGCUUGGCACUCCUUGGGCUGUUG